CCUACGGGAGGCUGCAGUGGGGAAUAUUGGACAAUGGGGGGAACCCUGAUCCAGCGACGCCGCGUGAGUGAAGAAGUAUCUCGGUAUGUAAAGCUCUAUCAGCAGGGGAGAAAGAAAUGACGGUACCUGACUAAGAAGCCCCGGCUAACUACGGGCCAGCAGCCGCGGUCAUACGGAGGGGGCAAGCGUUAUCCGGAUUUACUGGGUGUAAAGGGAGCGUAGACGGUUACGCAAGUCUGGAGGGAAAGGCGGGGGCCCAACCCCCGGACUGCUGUGGAAACUGGAUAACUGGAGUGCAGGAGAGGUAAGUGGAAUGCCUAGUGUAGCGGUGAAAUGCGUAGAUAUUAGGAGGAACACCAGUGGCGAAGGCGGCUUACUGGACUGUAACUGACGUUGAGGCUCGAAAGCGUGGGGAGCAAACAGGAUUAGAUACCCUUGUAGUC
rnacentral:rRNA from 1 species